GUAGUGAUGGAUGGUACUAUAUGGAGCUAAUAAUUAAAUUAUUAUUAAAUAGUAAAUCAAUGGAUGGUACCAAUGGGAAGUAGUAGAUCAAUCAUCAAGCUGCAGAUUAUAAGUUGCAAAUUCAACACUGUUAUUUUAAUUACGGAGAAAAGUGGAGGCCGAGUUUCAUAACAACAGAAUGAACAUGAACAUUUGCGAGGGCAAACGCACUGAUGCUCAACAGCACCGAAGAAACCUCGGCCCUUCAGCCUACGGGAGCAGGAGACCCACCUGAGAUGAGGCGCAGGUCCGGCUCCUGGUCUGGGGCCAACGAAAGCGAAGAUGAGUUGGAGGCGAUGAAUUUGGAAAGAAAUCGCAACCAUGCAGCCAAUCAACUGCAAUGUUGCUCAUGAGAGCACCACCAGAGACCAGAGUUCAGUUUCCCAGGCAGAAGAUAGAUUCGAACCCAAAAAAACAUUUUCUUGGCACUAAAAUGCGCAGGAAACUUCGCUUCUUUUUCAUGAACCCGAUUGAAAAGUGGCAGGCUAAACGAAGAUAUCCGUACAAGUUCAUUGGGCAGCUCAUAAAAAUUUUCCUCGUCAGUGCUCAGCUGUGGUGGUUUGCGAAGAGUAAAUACACGCACAUAAGCCUACACCUGGGACAACAGAGGAUUGCCUUUUCCCACCUUUUCUUGCGAGACUGGGAUCUGAUCAGGGAGGUUGUUUUUUUUUUACAAUUUUGUAUAUUAUUAUUUUUAAUAUUUAAUAUAGUAUUAUUAUAUUACUAGGUUUAAAUUUUACUGUAAUGUAAAUGAUAAAUUUUUUGGGUUAAACCAUUUAAACAA